GUGCCCCUAUCUCAUUUUCAUUACUCGCGACAAUCCCAGCAGUCCCACGUGCACUCUGAGAGCCAUUGACCAAGCAGGAGUGAGAAGAACGUGUCAAAUUAAUUUCCUUGUUUCUGCUAUGAAGAACAGACGUGUGUGACUCGAAUAUCUCACAUUUACCAACAAAACGAACAGCGAAAGACCGUGCAAAACAUCAAUCAAACCGUUCUGCCAACCUGUAUACAUUUAAA